UGGGUGAUCUGCCCUGCACUUCGGGAUAAGCCUGGGAAACUGGGUCUAAUACCGGAUAUGACCUUGGGAUGCAUGUCCUGUGGUGGAAAGCUUUUGCGGUGUGGGAUGGGCCCGCGGCCUAUCAGCUUGUUGGUGGGGUUAAGGCCUACCAAGGCGACGACGGGUAGCCGGCCUGAGAGGGUGACCGGCCACACUGGGACUGAGAUACGGCCCAGACCUCCGUACGGGAGGCA
rnacentral:rRNA from 1 species